rnacentral:rRNA from 1 species
GACGAACGCUGGCGGCGUGCUUAACACAUGCAAGUCGAACGGAGUGGGAACGGGCGAGUAAGACGUGGGUGACCACCCGGCACUUCGGGAUAAACCUGGGAAACUAGGUCUAAACCGGCCAUCUGGGCCGGCGGGCUAUCAGCUGGUUGGGGGGGUAAUGGCCUACCAAGGCGGCGCGGGGUAGCCGGCCUGAGAGGAUGGACGGCCACAUGGGAAUUGAGAAACGACCCAAACUCUUACGGGAGGCAGCAGUGGGGAAUCUUCCACAAUGGGCGCAAGCCGGACGAAGAAACGCCGCGUGAGUGAAGAAGGUUUUCGGGUCGGAAAGCUCUGUUGUAAGAGAGGCGGUAUCUGACCAGAAAGCCACGGCUAACUACGUGCCAGCCGCCGCGGUAAUUC